rnacentral:lncRNA from 1 species
AUGUAGUUAAGAUGUCACAACGAGGUUUGAUUUACCCAUUCAUAUUUUUUUACUUAUCAGAGUUUUUAGUUAUUUCAGAAUUAAUGUUUAAUUAUUUCCUCACAGCUAUUCCUUUACUACGUAUACCACGUAAAAUAACUAAUGUAUAGCCAAAAAGCAACAAAAUGGACACGCAUUCCAAAGUUAAGAUAGUAAAUAACUUCAAGCUAUGCUGCUAUUGGCGGAGAGUCCACCGACGCUGGCCAAGCACUACGUGACACAGAAAUCUAUCCUCGUGCCCGAGCACCGGAUCAAAGUUAAACCACAAUAUUGUAAUAGCUGAGCCCUUGAGGCUAAGCAUCAGCUUUGCGUGUGGAUGUUUUAUUACUCUCGCUAUCCUGAACAUAUGCAAUUCAUGCAUAUUUAUCUAGCUUUAAACCUAUCAAUUAAAGACAGACAGGGUCAUAUCUUUUGCGCGAAACAAGAUUUUAUUUUUUUUUGGCAC